GCCCCCCCCAGACCAGCACAGCCCCCCACGGACCAGCACAGCUGCCCACAGACUAAGGGAGGCCCCUCACCUGAGCUGCUGGAUGGCCAGCUGCAGCAAGGAGAAAGCUGGACUGCGGUCCCUCAGGCACCUGCCAGGUGCUGUCCGGCCUCUCCCUCCCCCUCGGUUAGUCACCACCCACCUCCACCCGGACCUCACCAGGCAGGUGACAGAGCCUGGGAAAGGAGUCCCCUGUGAGCUGGCACUGCCCACCCCCGUCCACAGACUGGCCAACAGAGGUUUAGUGGGGUUGAGUUCAGGCCCCUGCCUAGGGGGUCAUCCCCCACUAUCUAGGUUCACACUCUACCCCCCCCACCACCCCCUCGGUUAGUCACCACCCACCUCCACCUGGACCUCACCAGGCAGGUGACAGAGCCUGGGAAAGGAGUCCCCUGUGAGCUGGCACUGCCCACCCCCGUCCACAGACUGGCCAACAGAGGUUUAGUGGGGUUGAGUUCAGGCCCCUGCCUAGGGGGUCAUCCCCCACUAUCUAGGUUCACACUCUACCCCCCCCACCACCACCCAGGGUCAUCUGUUACCUGCUGCCCAAGGUGGCCCCUGCCCCACCUGCCCCACUCGGUGACCGGUGACCGCGCAGCUGGGCCCCCACCUGUCCCUUGAGGCUGCUCAGACUUUGCCCUCUAACCCCGCCCUCCCCCAGCAGGAAGCUGGGUGCUGGGCUCAGGUUCAGGGCAGGUCGGAGUCUGGUGACCCAGGGCUUGGCUAGAGCAAAGGCCGGAGGAGGCCCGACCAGCCCGCGUCCGGGGAGGAGGGUGAGGUUCAGCUCCUUAGCGCUGCUGUGUUUGGUUGUGUCAGGCAUGCGAUAAAAUCGCCCCGUUUCUGUGCACGUGUGUAGACUCGAACACCCCCCAGUCCGAAUUACCUGGCACCCCUCCCAUGCCCCCUGGGGUUGCACCCUGCCCCCACCGGCCCCAGGGCGCCAACGAUGACCUCUGGUCACAGUCUCUGGGAGAAGGCCACACACGGGGGAGAGCCAGAGCCUGGGAGGCAAAGCGCAAGGCCCAGCAGCCACCACGGGCUCCCCAGUCCCUCCUCUGGGCCGAGGCAGUCCGUCUAGACGCGCCGUGGUUUGCGUGGCCUGCCCCUGUCAAGGCAUCUAGGGACCUCCCGCUCGGACUGCAAAGAGCUGCUGAGACCUCCUGGGUCCUGAAGAUUGGUUUUUCCUGGAAGCUUUGCGGUUCGGUGACGCGCUCUGCAGUCCCUAGUCUUCGCCGAGAGGCGCGGCUUAGGUCCGGCUCCCUUCCCAUCGCUGUAGCACCGUUGGUGAGAAGGCCGUCCUUUCGUAUGAACGCUCGGGCACCUCGGCAUGACGGCCGCUCGCGUGCGCCUCCCCCUGCAUCUGUGCUGACUGCUGCCGCCCGUGGGAGCCUCGCCACGUGGACAGGAACACCCGCCCGCCCGGCCACUUCAUUCUUUCUAAAAGUUGUCUUAGCUCUUCCGCCACCAACCUGUUCUCCACAUACACGAGUUUGGCUCUGUCGUUGCUGUUGUUGGAACCCAUAUCCACGUGUAAGAGACCACGAGACUGGGGCGCCUGCGUGGCUCAGCCGGUGAAGCAUCUGCCUUCGGCUCAGGUCACGAUCCCAGGGUCCUGGGAUCGAGCCCCAUGUCGGGCUCCUUGUUCGGCAGGGAAUUUGCUUCUCCCUCUCCCUCUACCUCCUGGUCCCCUACUUGUGCUCUCUCGCUAUCUCUUGCUCUCUGUCAAAUAAAUAAAUAAAAUCUUAAAAAAA
rnacentral:lncRNA from 1 species